rnacentral:pre_miRNA from 1 species
UGUGUGUGUGUGUGUGUGUGUGUGUGUGUGUGUGAUGGGAUUUGUGGGGAUGAGGUAUAGCUCAGUGCUAGAGUGCUUUCCUAGCAUGUGUGAAGCCUGAGUUCAAUCCCUACAAUACACACACACACACACACACACACACGCACACA